GAUGAACGCUGGCGGCGUGCCUAAUACAUGCAAGUCGAGCGAACGGACGAGAAGCUUGCUUUUCUGAUGUUAGCGGCGGACGGGUGAGUAACACGUGGAUAACCUACAUAUAAGACUGGGAUAACUUCGGGAAACCGGAGCUAAUACCGGAUAAUAUUUUGAACCGCAUGGUUCAAAAGUGAAAGACGGUCUUGCUGUCACUUAUAGAUGGAUCCGCGCUGCAUUAGCUAGUUGGUAAGGUAACGGCUUACCAAGGCAACGAUGCAUAGCCGACCUGAGAGGGUGAUCGGCCACACUGGAACUGAGACACGGUCCAGACUCCUACGGGAGGCAGCAGUAGGGAAUCUUCCGCAAUGGGCGAAAGCCUGACGGAGCAACGCCGCGUGAGUGAUGAAGGUCUUCGGAUCAUAAAACUCUGUUAUUAGGGAAGAACAUAUGUGUAAGUAACUGUGCACAUCUUGACGGUACCUAAUCAGAAAGCCACGGCUAACUACGUG
rnacentral:rRNA from 1 species